rnacentral:rRNA from 1 species
GGAUUGACAUGUUGGUCGUGCCUUAAGGGGUAUGAACUGGCAUUGUCGAUUUCUCACCUUCUGGAGAAUCACGAUGCUCUUAAUUGGGUGUCGUGUGGAUCCAGGACCUUUACCUUGAAAAAAUUAGAGUGUUUAAAGCAAGUGAAUAACAGCCUGAAUACAUUAGCAUGGAAUAAUAGA